GUACUUCACCCUCCACUCGGAUCGUCCGGCACGUUCCUGCCGGUGGAAGGACACAUCA
rfam:Streptomyces scabrisporus strain NF3 contig1, whole genome shotgun sequence.